CGCCUUGCCAGCCCGCUCAGAACUUAAAGGAAUUGACGGGGCCGCACAAGCGGUGGAGCAUGUGGUUAAUUCGAUGAUACGCGAGGAACCUUACCUGGGCUCGAACGUAAGAUGACUGUAGGUGAAAGCUUACAUCUCUUCGGAGCAUUUUACGAGGUGCUGCAUGGUUGUCGUCAGCUCGUGCCGUGAGGUGUCGGGUUAAGUCCCAUAACGAGCGCAACCCCUACCUUUAGUUGCCAUCAGGUUAAGCUGGGGACUCUAAAGGAACUGCCUACGCAAGUAGUGAGGAAGGCGGGGAUGACGUCAAAUCAGCACGGCCCUUACGUCCAGGGCUACACACGUGCUACAAUGGCCGAUACAGAGGGCAGCUACCUGGUGACAGGAUGCAAAUCUCCAAAGUCGGUCUCAGUUCGGAUCGGAGUCUGCAACCCGACUCCGUGAAGUUGGAUUCGCUAGUAAUCGCGCAUCAGCCAUGGCGCGGUGAAUACGUUCCCGGGCCUU
rnacentral:rRNA from 1 species